UGGAGGGUGGGGGCAACAGAGAGAACCUCUCCGUGUGUGUAUGCGAUCGGAGAACACGGGACGGGGCGAGAAGGGGUAUCGGGUGGGGGGUUGGAGGGCAGACACCAGCUGACCUCGAACUGACCAAUGGGACGCGUCUGUGCCUGGCAUUCGUUCGCUGUUUUCCUUUCGUAGGAGAGGAAGAAGAAGAGGAAGAGGAGGAGGACGCUCCGUUUCCUCUCCACUUUGUGGGAACGGGAAGCAACAGCAUUGUGUUGGAGCUGACUGUGGUGUAAUCAUUAAUGAGCACUAACAGUCGGGACAGGACAGGCAUGGCCUACAGCCUGGGACACACACAAGACGAUGCAAUUGCAGUUGGGAGAAGCGAGUGGCAGACGACACGAAAGAGCAGAGCAAAGAAAAAAACGACCUAAACUUUGGAAACAUUUUGCUAUUUGAGAACCGGAUGGUUGGUCCCUGUGCGAGUGUGUGUCAGGGAGAGGAGUGGGGUGGACAUAAAGGAAUAGCAGAAGGACAUAGUCUGCUUUAAAGCUAGUAAAGAAGUCACAUUUUAUGUCACGUGACCUUAUGCUUUGUUGCGUUUUACUGCCUGAUAUUUCCUUGUGUUGACGGGGAUAUUGAAGUCUACCAAACUUUAACUUGCCGUCCACCAGUAUUGAAAAAAAGGGAACGGGGCUGUGUACCGACGCUGCUGAGAGCAUUACCAUGACAUUGGGUGUGCUAGACCUUUGUGCCGAAAUUCAACGAAUUAUUUAUUUGAGUAACUACAAUACAAAAUGGGAGACUUAAAAGACCACAAAUAACAUAAGCUACCUCGGAUGGCCUGUUAGCUGCUUUAACCACCCCAAAAUCAGUAGGCUAACAGCCUUCCAGUCAUUAGCUAUAUAGUUAUUAAGUUUUUACCACUGGUCCAACACUAAUAACAGGGUAAUGACAAGAAGCGAAAUCGGUUUUAAGUAUAUGAAUCAUAAUGACACAAAUAAAUAGAAACUGUAGAGAGAUGGAAUGGUCUAGAUUAUAUCAGAAAACAAAGAAAGAAAAAAGUUAAUAUUCUGGGACAUUCUCCCACGUUAAAAAUUGGUUGGAUGACAAUUACAAAUCCCAUCUUUUUUCUAAACGGAUAUGCGUUUUAAGCCUGCUGUAUUCCUGCACAGUAAAUUUAAUGGUGCAGCUUCAGAGUAAACAGCCGAGAGGCGCUGAAGGAACUCCAGGAAUCCGGGAAACUUCAGAGAUUAUCGACAAUUAAAGCUGAAAGAGUCAGGCGGCUGCUUUAUGGCUUUAUGGGUCCCUUUCACCUUUUGCGUGUGUGUGUGUGUGUGUGUGUGUGUG